GACGGAGGGUGCGAGCGUUGUUCGGAUUGACUGGGCGUAAAGGGCGUGUAGGCGGUCGGCCAAGUCUGGUGUGAAAGCCCGGGGCUCAGCUCCGGAAGUGCGCCGGAAACUAGCUGGCUGGAGCGCGGUAGAGGAGGGUGGAAUUCCUGGUGUAGCGGUGAAAUGCGUAGAUAUCGGGAGGAACACCAAUUGCGAAGGCAGCUCGCUGGGACGUCACUGACGCUGAGACGCGAAAGCGUGGGGAGCAAACAGG
rnacentral:rRNA from 1 species